GAUGAACGCUGGCGGCGUGCCUAAAACAUGCAAGUCGAGCGAACGGACGAGAAGCUUGCUUUUCUGAUGUUAGCGGCGGACGGGUGAGUAACACGUGGAUAACCUACCUAUAAGACUGGGAUAACUUCGGGAAACCGGAGCUAAUACCGGAUAAUAUUUUGAACCGCAUGGUUCAAAAGUGAAAGACGGUCUUGCUGUCCCUUAUAGAUGGAUCCGCGCUGCAUUAGCUAGUUGGUAAGGUAACGGCUUACCAAGGCAACGAUGCAUAGCCGACCUGAGAGGGUGAUCAGCCACACUGUAACUGAGACACGGUCCAGACGCUCACGGGAGCCAGCUGUAGGGAACCGGCCGCAAUGUGCGAAACCUUGACGGAGCAACGUCGUGCGAGUUAUGAAGGUCUUCGGAUCGUAAAACGCUGCUAUUAGGGAAGAACAUAGGUGUAAGUAACUGUUCACACCUAGACGGGACCUAAUCAGAAAGCCCCGGCUAACUGCGUG
rnacentral:rRNA from 1 species